GAGCGCUCUCUGUGUGGCUGCUGACAUUACCGUAAUGAUAAUAAUACGCGCGCACCGAAAUAUAAAGCGCGGCUGGCUUGACUGUUUUUCCGAAACGUGGCUGGCUUGACCGCAGUCUUAUUUCCCCUCAGGAAGAAGUUGGACGUUGUUUCGUUACGGAAGACUCCUGGCUGCUAAAGUAGAACUAAUCUAAUAGAGGCUGCAGUACUGUUUUCUCUCUGCUAUUCAUUGUGAGACUUUUAGUUCAGUUCUACAAUCCUCAAACUGUGUGCUGAGAGAGCUGGAGCUGAGUAACAAUGACCUGCAGGAUUCAGGAGUGGAGAAGCUCUCUGAUGGACUGAAGAGUCAACACUGUAAACUGGACACACUGAGAUUGUUCAUGUGUAAUCUCACUGCUCAGUCCUGUGAGACUUUUAGUUCAGUUCUACAAUCCUCAAACUGUGUGCUGAGAGAGCUGGACCUGAGUAACAAUGACCUGCAGGAUUCAGGAGUGGAGCUUCUCUCUGAUGGACUGAAGAGUCAACACUGUAAACUGGAGACACUGAGAUUGGCCAUGUGUAAUCUGUCUGCUCAGUCUUGUGAGAGUUUGUCUUCAGUUCUACAAUCAUCAAACUGUGUGCUGAGAGAGCUGGACCUGAGUAUCAAUGACCUGCAGGAUUCAGGAGUGGAGAAGCUCUCUGAUGGACUGAAGAGUCCACACUGUAAACUGGGGACACUGAGGUCUGAGUUCAAGCACCUGAUUGAUUGACUAGAUAGACUUAUUAUUGAAUGAUUGAUUGAUUGAUUGAUUGAUUAUAACUAUUAUUUACAUCAGAUAAAUGACUAAAAAUUAUGCUGUAAAUUUGAUUUGUGAUCUUCUUUCUCAGAUUGGUCAUGUGUAAUCUCAAUGUUCAGUGCUGUGAGAGUUUGUCUUCAGCUCUACAAUCCUCAAACUGUGUGCUGAGAGAGCUGGAGCUGAGUAACAAUGACCUGCAGGAUUCAGGAGUGAAGAAGCUCUCUGAUGGACUGAAGAGUCAACACUGUAAACUGGAGACACUGAGGUACAAUAAAUCCACCACAUAUGACCAUAUUAUAAAUACUACCAUAAGUAGUUGUAAAUAUAGUGUAAUACCACAAAGUAUGAUGAGAUGAGAGAAAUACGUGUGCAGUAAUGAUUAUUGCACUGUGCUUUAAAAUAUUAAGCAAACUAUUCCUUUCUCUGAUUUCCUUUAUUAUUUGAUGUAACCCUGGAGCCAAGCCUGGGGUUGGAGCUCAAAUGCGAGUGCCUGGUGGCCGGGUUUUUUCCCACGAUGUGGGACCAUCCUCCCGCAGGCCCACCAGCUGCAGGGGGAGCCGUAAGGGGCCGAUGCAUUGUGGAACAGGUGGUGGUCGAAGGUUUGGGCCACGACAACCCGAUCGUCGGGCACAGAAACUAGUUCUUGGGACAUGGAAUGUCACCUCACUGGGAGAGAAGGAGCCCGAGCUUGUGUGGAAGGUGGAAUGGUACCGACUAGAGAUAGUUGGGCUCACCUCCACGCACAGCUUGGGCUCUGGAACUCAACUUCCUGAGAAGGGCUGUACUUUCUUCUACUCUGGAGUUGCUCACGGCGAGAGGGAGCGGGCUGGUGUGGGCUUGCUUAUAGCUCCCUAACUAAGCCGCCAUGUGUUGGAGUUUUCCCCGGUCAACGAGAGGGUAGCCUCCGCGCAUUUUUGGGUCGGGUCUCUCAUUGUGGUAUGUCCCUACGGUCAAACACCAGUGUAGAGUACCCGGCAUUCUUGGAGUCCUUGGGAGGGGUGCUGGAUGGUGCCCAGACUGAGGACUCCAUUGUUCUACUGGGGGACUUGCCCACGUGGGUAAUAAAAUUGAAACCUGGAGAGGUGGAAUUGGGAGGAACGGCCUUCCUGAUCUGAACCCGAAUGGCGUUUUGUUAUUGGACUUCUGUGCUAAUCCCAGUUUGUCCAUAACGAACACCAUGUGAAAGAAAAAGGGUGUCCAUCAGUGGACUUGGCACCAGGACACCCUAGGGCGGAGGUCAAUGAUUGACUUUGUGGUUGUAUCAUCUGAUCUCCGACUGUAUGUCUUGGACACUCGGGUAAAGAGAGGGGCAGAGCUGUCAAGUGAUCACUACCUGGUGGUGAGUUGGAUCUGCUGGCGAGGGGGAAAGCUGGACAGACUUCGUAGGCCCAAGCAUAUUGUGAGGGUCCUCUGGGAACACCUGGCUGAACCCCAAGUCAGAGGGAUUUUCAAUUCUCACCUCCGGAAGAGCUUUGAACAGAUCCCGAGGGAGGCUGGAGACAUGAAGACUGAGUGGUCCAUGUUCUCUGACUCUAUUCGGCCGUGAUGAGCUGUGGUAGUAAGGUCUGUGGUGCCUGUCAGGGUGGCAAUGCACGAACCCGGUGGUGGACAUCGGAAGUAAGGGAUGCCGUCAAGCUGAAAAAGGAGUUCUACAGGGCUAGGUUGGCUUGCAGGUCUCCCGAGACAGCUGAUGAGUAUCAACAGGCCAAGCAUCCUGCAGCCCAGGUAGUUGUGGAAGCAAAAACUUGGGCCUGGGAGUUCAGGGAGACCAAGCUUAAUCAAACAUGGAUCUUCAGCAUGCACUGGGGCGGUUUGCUGCUGAGUGUGAUGCAGCUGGGAUGAGAAUCAGCACCUCCAAGUCCAAGCCCUUGGUGCUCCACCG